rnacentral:misc_RNA from 1 species
GAUGAAGAACGUAGCGAAAUGCGAUAAGUAAUGUGAAUUGCAGAAUUCAGUGAAUCAUCGAAUCUUUGAACGCACAUUGCGCCCCCCAGUAUUCUGGCGGGCAUGCCUGUUCGAGCGUCAUUUCAACCAUCAAGCCCUGCUUGUGUUGGGGUCCUGCGGCUGCCCGCAGGCCCUGAAAACCAGUGGCGGGCUCGCUAGUCACACCGCGCGCAGUAGCACAUCUCGCUCAGGGCGUGCGGCGGGCUCCAGCCGUUAAAGCACCCACCUUUCGCAAGGUUGACCUCGGAUCAGGUAGGAAUACCCGCUGAACUUAAGCAUAUCAAUAAGCGGAGGA